GGGUUGAUGGCAGAUAGUAUGUGUUAAAUUGUAAAUUUAAUGAAGGGGAUCUUCCUCUCAACCUA
rnacentral:tRNA from 1 species